GUGCUUGCUUCAGCAGCACAUAGACCAAUAUUGGACUCAUAUAGCCAAGAUUAGCAUGGCUCCUGAGCAAAGAGGGCAUGCAUUUUUGUGAAGUUUCCUUAUUAAAA
ensembl:snRNA U6 U6 spliceosomal RNA